CGAGACAAAUGCGGCAACAAGGAAUAGAAUCAUUCUCGAUAUCAUCUUCAAUGUUAAUCUCAGUCGAACUUCCUGGUAGCGGCGAUGAUGAAUCAGCCUUGUUUACGAGCAGGGGAUCAGAAUCGCUCGGAUUCCCUGUACCCACUGGCUCCAGCUGCACUUCCCCUAUCAUCGAUAACCCUCUCUCUCUAUAUAUAUAAAUCGAACAAAACAGAGGUCGCAAAACCCUAAUUGAUCACAAUUCACAAAUUGGCAGACACCAAACGACGAUUGAACGAAAACCAAAAGCUCAAGUAAAAAUGACGGAGAAAGAGAGACAGUGAAAAUAGACAAACACUAUACAAUCUAG
rnacentral:misc_RNA from 1 species